AUGCCGGAGGUGGCCCUCAAUGCUGCUGCUAAUUCCAACUCCAACGCCGGCGUUAUUGGUCAGUUCGGUGAUACCACCCUCACCAAAGUGUUUGUUGGAGGAUUGGCUUGGGAGACUCCCAAGGACGCUAUGAGAGAGCAUUUCCAGAAGUACGGCGAGAUCCUCGAGGCUGUCAUUAUCUCUGAUAAGGCUACCGGCAGAUCCAAGGGCUAUGGCUUCGUGACCUUUAAGGAAGCUGAAGCUGCGAAGAAGGCUUGUGAGGAUCCUACGCCGGUCAUCAAUGGCCGCCGAGCCAACUGCAAUCUGGCUUCGCUCGGCGCGCGACGCCCUAGGUCCACCAACACUUCACCGCCUCGUCAACAAGCAUCGAAUGGCGGAGGACCAGGGGCCUCCCAAAAUGCACCACCCCCGCCAGCCAAUCACGGCCCGUGGUAUUAUCCGGUGGGGACACCUGCUUCACAUUUCCAUCAUCACCACCAUCAACCUGUUCCUCUAUAUGGGUACACCCCAACGUACAUUCCAACUGACAUAAAUUACAAUCAGAAGCUAGGCUACACUGGCGGUGGGCCCUACAUGAAUGGUUACUACUCCCCACUGUACCCCAGCCAGGCUAUGGUGGGUGGGAACACAUUGAUGCCGAUGUACCCUCUUUAUCAGUACCAUCAAACGCACACGAUGGGCCUGCCUGCUCACAUAUUCCAGCCACCCACAGCGGGGCACGUGGCCAUCAUGUCAAAGCCCGCGUCCAUCACUCCUAACACAGUUUGUUUGGGUGUGGAAUAGGUGAAAGCUUGAAAAAGGUUGGCUGAAGGAAAGGUGCAGGGCAGUGCAUUGCACAGUUGGCAAAUAACUAAAGGGAGAGGAAGGUGGUGUUGUCAUUGAUGAGAUUCUUUCAUUCUCCCUCCGUCUCUCUCUAACAUCUCAGCAUGAGC